rnacentral:rRNA from 1 species
UCAAGCGACUAAGUGUAUGUGGUGGAUGCCUUGGCGAUUACAGGCGAUGAAGGACGUCGCAGCCUGCGAAAAGCCGUGGGGAGCUGGCAAGCGAGCACUGAUCCACGGAUGUCCGAAUGAGGGAACUCACCCGCAAGGGUAUCUUGAAGUGAAUACAUAGCUUCAAGAGGCGAACGCAGCGAACUGAAACAUCUAAGUAGCUGCAGGAAAAGAAAUCAACCGAGAUUCUGAAAGUAGCGGCGAGCGAAAUUGGAAGAGCCUGCAAGUGAUAUUGAAUUCGAUACUGGAACGGUCUGGAAAGUCCGGCUACAGAGGGUGACAGCCCCGUACGGGAAAUUGGGUUCAAGGUACUGAGCUUGCGAGAAGUAGAGCGGGACACGUGAAAUCCUGCUCGAAGAUGGGGGGACCAUCCUCCAAGGCUAAAUACUCGUAAUCGACCGAUAGCGAACCAGUACUGUGAAGGAAAGGCGAAAAGAACCCCGGGAGGGGAGUGAAAUAGAUCCUGAAACCGCAUACAUACAAACAGUAGGAGCCCGCAAGGGUGACUGCGUACCUUUUGCAUAAUGGGUCAGCGACUUACGUUCAAUGGCAAGCUUAACCGAGUAGGGGAGGCGCAGCGAAAGCGAGUCCGAACAGGGCGAUAUGAGUCGUUGGGCGUAGACCCGAAACCAGAUGAUCUAUCCAUGGCCAGGCUGAAGGUGUGGUAACACACACUGGAGGGCCGAACCGACUAGUGUUGCAAAAUUAGCGGAUGAGCUGUGGAUAGGGGUGAAAGGCUAAACAAAUCUGGAGAUAGCUGGUUCUCCCCGAAAACUAUUGAGGUAGUGCCUCGUGUAUGGCUCCAGGGGGUAGAGCACUGUUAUGGCUAGGGGGACAUGGCGUCUUACCAAACCAUGGCAAACUCCGAAUACUUGGAAGUCUGAGCACGGGAGACAGAGCACCGGGUGCUAACGUCCGGACUCAAAAGGGAAACAACCCAGACCGCCGGCUAAGGUCCCUAAUAUUGACUAAGUGGAAAACGAAGUGGGAAGGCUAAGACAGUCAGGAAGUUGGCUUAGAAGCAGCCAUCCUUCAAAGAAAGCGUAAUAGCUCACUGAUCGAGUCUUCCUGCGCGGAAGAUGUAACGGGGCUAAGUCAAUAACCGAAGCCGCGGAUUCGCAGCAAUGCGAGUGGUAGGGGAGCGUUCUGUAAGCCUGCGAAGGCGGAUCCGCGAGGACCGCUGGAGGUAUCAGAAGUGCGAAUGCUGACAUGAGUAACGUUAAAGCGGGUGAAAAGCCCGCUCGCCGCAAGCCCAAGGUUUCCUGCUCUACGUUCAUCGGAGCAGGGUGAGUCGGCCCCUAAGGUCAGGCUGAGAAGCGUAGCUGAUGGGAAGCUGGUUAAUAUUCCAGCACCGAUUUCAAGUGCGAAGAGGGGACGGAGUCCUGAAGGUCAUCCGGGUGUUGGAUAUCCCGGUUUACGAGCGUAGGAGGUUGACAGGCAAAUCCGUCAACGAAUCUCCAAGGCGAAGGAUCGAGGUUGAGAGAUCAACUGAAGUGACUGAAUGGGCUUCCAGGAAAAGCCUCUAAGCAUCAGCUUGGAAUUGACCGUACCGCAAACCGACACUGGUGGGCGAGCUGAAUAUGCUCAGGCGCUUGAGAGAACUCAGGAGAAGGAACUCGGCAAAUUGACACCGUAACUUCGGGAUAAGGUGUGCCUUUGUAGUGUGAAGAGAGAAACACUCCGAGCAUGAAGAGGCCUCAGAGAAUCGGUGGCUGCAACUGUUUACUAAAAACACAGCACUCUGCAAAGAUGAAAGUCGACGUAUAGGGUGUGAUGCCUGCCCGGUGCUGGAAGAUUAAUUGAUGGGGUGCAAGCUCCUGAUCGAAGUCCCAGUAAACGGCGGCCGUAACUAUAACGGUCCUAAGGUAGCGAAAUUCCUUGUCGGGU